GUUUUCGUAGUGUAGUGGUUAUCACAUGCGCUUCACACGCGCAAGGUCCCCAGUUCAAACCUGCAUGGGCGGAAACA
rnacentral:tRNA from 1 species